AUAGAACGCUGGCGGCAGGCCUAACACAUGCAAGUCGAGCGAGCGGCGGACGGGUGAGUAAUGUCUGGGAAACUGCCCGAUGGAGGGGGAUAACUACUGGAAACGGUAGCUAAUACCGCAUACCAUCAGAUGUGCUCAGAUGGGAUUAGCUGGUAGGUGGGGUAACGGCUCACCUAGGCGACGAUCCCUAGCUGGGCUGAGAGGAUGACCAGCAACACGGGAACAGAGACACGGGGCAGACUCCUACGGGAGGCAGCAGUGGGGAAUAUUGCAAAAUGGGAGCAAGCGUGAUGCAGCCAUGCCGCGUGUGUGAAGGAGGCCUUCAGGUUGUAAAGCAUUUUAAGCGGGUAGGGGUUACCCGCAGAAGAAGCACCGGCUAACUCCGUGCCAGCAGCCGCGGUAAUAC
rnacentral:rRNA from 1 species